GGCCUUGACAUACUAAGAACUUUCCAGAGAUGGAUUGGUGCCUUCGGGAACUUAGAUACAGGUGCUGCAUGGCUGUCGUCAGCUCGUGUCGUGAGAUGUUGGGUUAAGUCCGCAACGAGCGCAACCCUUUUCCUUAUUUGCCAGCGGGUCAUGCCGGGAACUUUAAGGAUACUGCCAGUGACAAACUGGAGGAAGGCGGGGACGACGUCAAGUCAUCAUGGCCCUUACGGCCAGGGCUACACACGUGCUACAAUGGUCGGUACAAAGGGUUGCUACCUCGCGAGAGGAUGCUAAUCUCAAAAAGCCGAUCGUAGUCCGGAUCGCAGUCUGCAACUCGACUGCGUGAAGUCGGAAUCGCUAGUAAUCGCGGAUCAGAAUGCCGCGGUGAAUACGUUCCCGGGCCUUGUACACACCGCCCGUCACACCAUGGGAGUUUGUUGCACCAGAAGUAGGUAGUCUAACCGCAAGGAGGACGCUUACCACGGUGUGGCCGAUGACUGGGGUGAAGUCGUAACAAGGUAAGCGUACUACA
rnacentral:rRNA from 1 species